UACGAAGGGGCUAGCGUUGCUCGGAAUCACUGGGCGUAAAGCGCACGUAGGCGGAUUGUUAAGUCAGGGGUGAAAUCCUGGAGCUCAACUCCAGAACUGCCUUUGAUACUGGCGAUCUUGAGUCCGGGAGAGGUGAGUGGAACUGCGAGUGUAGAGGUGAAAUUCGUAGAUAUUCGGCAAGAACACCAGUGGCGAAGGCGGCUCACUGGCCCGGUACUGACGCUGAGGUGCGAAAGCGUGGGAGCAACAGG
rnacentral:rRNA from 1 species